AAGAUUAAGCCAUGCAUGUCUAAGUAUAAACAAAUCUAUACUGUGAAACUGCGAAUGGCUCAUUAAAUCAGUUAUAGUUUAUUUGAUAAUACUUUACUACAUGGAUAACCGUGGUAAUUCUAGAGCUAAUACAUGCUAAAAAUCCCGACUUCGGAAGGGAUGUAUUUAUUAGAUAAAAACCAAUGCCCUUCGGGGCUCCUUGGUGAUUCAUAAUAACUCAACGAAUCGCAU
rnacentral:rRNA from 1 species